AGUGAACGCUGGCGGUAGGCCUAACACAUGCAAGUCGAACGGCAGCACAGUAAGAGCUUGCUCUUACGGGUGGCGAGUGGCGGACGGGUGAGGAAUACAUCGGAAUCUACUUUUUCGUGGGGGAUAAUGUAGGGAAACUUACGCUAAUACCGUAUACGACCUACGGGUGGAAGCAGGGGAUCUUCGGACCUUGCGCGAUUGAAUGAGCCGAUGUCGGAUUAGCUAGUUGGCGGGGUAAAGGCCCACCAAGGCGACGAUCCGUAGCUGGUCUGAGAGGAUGAUCAGCCACACUGGAACUGAGACACGGUCCAGACUCCUACGGGAGGCGGCAGUGGGGAAUAUUGGACAAUGGGCGCAAGCCUGAUCCAGCCAUACCGCGUGGGUGAAGAAGGCCUUCGGGUUGUAAAGCCCUUUUGUUGGGAAAGAAAAGCAGCAGGUUAAUACCCCGCUGUUCUGACGGUACCCAAAGAAUAAGCACCGGCUAACUUCGUG
rnacentral:rRNA from 1 species